UGACGUCUAGGGCCCAACAAUAUUUAAUUAAAAUGGGUACCAACCCAUUCUUCAUCACCUACGAUACUUACUCAUUUUCUCCUUCCCAAUUCCUUGCAAAUCUAUAUUUGAGGACAACCCAGUAGCGGCGCCUGCAAAUCCUCUUCCCUUCUAUUCUCUUUUCUCUUCGCCGUCGACUCUCUACCCGGUCAAGACCCCAACGUCGUAUUCAGCCCGACAGUGAGCUCUCAGUGGUGCUGCCUCCACCGUCCAGCGCCGGUACACGCUCUGCCGCCACCGCCGUUCUCACAGCAGGAGUCGCGGCUGCUCUUCGAGCUGCCGCCGUCAACAUCUCACACCAGCCAGCGAGCACCGUCUUUGUCGCUGCUUCUCGCCGUCGAGCAGCUCCUACCGACGGCUGCUGCUACCUUCGCUCCAGCUCCCCUCCGUCUUGCCGCGAUGCUGCGAGCUCGGGGCAGCUGCUGUCCGAGAGCUUGGAAGCUGCUCGUCGCUGCCGGUUCGUCGCCAGACAGCCCCUUGAAUUUAGCUAAGUCCCCUAUCCCUUUCUUAUCCUCUUAAAACUUGGUCUAUUAAACUUUUAGUUUCUGGGCAGUAGCUUUGUUCUAAGGACUAAGAUGUUGGCUACUUAUUUUUGUCCGAGAGAUGGCUUAUGGUUUCAUAACUCAUUUUGGUACUUUAUUCUCAUGCCUUGUUACUGAUUCGUUCCAUGAGUCAGCUACUGAUCUAAGGUCUCAUCUAUGGUUCUAACAUUUCAAGCUACAUGUGGGAUUUCUAAUGUGAUGCAAAGGAUGGUGUUGGGAGAUUACCUCGGCUUGGUGAUUCCUCUUGGUUUAACGGGCUGCCCUCUCGCGCUGCCACUUCCUUCCUCCCUCAUUGCUCCUCCGUUACUUGUGGAUUUUUAGGGGUCGAAAAUGGUGAGGAGAGGAGGUGGGGGUGUGGUAUUUAUAGUCGAGCUCUUGGCUCCUUGUGGCAGCCUCGGCAGGCAACGGAAGCUGUAAUUUAGCUAAGGGUUAUCUCAUCUUUUGAAUUGAGUUUAGAACUUCUAUGCCUAAUUUGGUGUAAGGCAAUGGAGGGCUCCUGAUUCUCAAAUCUCUUGGUUCUUGUGUGGGAGAGAUUUAUGGAGUAUGGAGAGAGAUUUGAGGAGGAAAAUAUCUGAGAAACUUGGUGACCAAGUAUACUCGGUUCCUGCUCGUGGCUGUCCUCGUUGAAGUAUCCGAUUUUUCCUAGAACGCAGGAUGUAUAAAUUUAAUUUUGUUGGAUUUUUGUUGAAUGUACCGGGCAUUAAAAUUUUCAUUUUGGGAUCUUAUUUAUUUAUUUAUUAAAUUUAUUAUAUUCAUAUA